rnacentral:rRNA from 1 species
AUUGAACGCUGGCGGCAGGCCUAACACAUGCAAGUCGAACGGUAACAGUUUCUAGCUUGCUAGAAGAUGACGAGUGGCGGACGGGUGAGUAAUGCUUGGGAACUUGCCUUUGCGACGGGGGAGUAACAGUUGGAAAACGACUGCUAAUACCGCAUAAUGUCUUCGGACCAAACGGGGCUCCGGCUCCGGCGCAAAGAGAGGCCCAAGUGAGAUUAGCUAGUUGGUAAGGUAACGGCUUACCAAGGCGACGAUCUCUAGCUGUUCUGAGAGGAAGAUCAGCCACACUGGGACUGAGACACGGCCCAGACUCCUACGGGAGCAGCAGUGGGGAAUAUUGCACAAUGGGGGAAACCCUGAUGCAGCCAUGCCGCGUGUGUGAAGAAGGCCUUCGGGUUGUAAAGCACUUUCAGUUGUGAGGAAAAGUUAGUAGUUAAUACCUGCUAGCCGUGACGUUAACAACAGAAGAAGCACCGGCUAACUCCGUG